UUGUCUUCUUUCACUCUUUCGUUCUUUCUCUCUUUCUCUCAUCUUUCUUUCACAGGGUCUUGCUCUGUCACCCAGGCUGGAGUGCAGUGGCAUGUUCAUGGCUCACUGCAGCCUCGACUUCCUGAGUUCAAGUGAUCCUCCCACCUCAGUGUCCCAAGUAGCUGGCACUACAGGCACGCACUACUAUGCCCAACUAAUUUAUUUUGUGGAGAUGGGUCUUGCUAUGUUGUCAAGGCUGGUCUUGAACUCCUUGACUCAAGCAAUCCUCCUGCCUCAGCCUCCCAAAGUGCUGGAAUUACAGGCAUGAGCCACCAUGUACAGCCCUUCACUGAAGUCUUCAUAGUCUGAAGGCGGUGGUUUCAGACUGGAGAAUAGAAAACUGAGGAGAGCUAAAUGGACACUAGAAAAGUUGUCGAGGGACAACCACCCACAACACCAAAGAGGCGAAGAAGAGGAAGGCCCCCUCUCAACCAAGAUUCAGAAGCCCUCUGAAGAUUCCCAAGACAACCCGGAAGGGAAAAGAGAGUCUUUGAGGGAGUUCCAGGAAAAAAGCCACUCCCGAAAGACCGCCGCUUCAAGAAAACCUGAGGAAGGGAGAGGGCCAACGCUAUCCAGCCACUCUGACCAGCUGAACGAGGAACUCAAUCAAAAGGAGCCACAGCAGGACCAGGAAAGUGAGGAGACUUCCACCAUCUCCAGCGUCUCCCUGGACAGCCAGUAAUUUCAGGGCAAGUUCAAAGGACUAGAUCUAUCUGAGAGGUCUCCAUAGGUCUAACCCCAGAGAAAUAGCCAAAAGGGUCUAUGGUACAUUUUACACACAACAGGGUACCCCUCAUGGUGAUGAAAAUAAAAUGAACCUGUUGUAAAAUGAU
rnacentral:lncRNA from 10 species